CCCAAUCUUUGCCACUCUGUGGUAAAACUUUUUCUUCCUCAGCUCCUUUGAUAAAUAUCACAGCAUCAUGUGGCAGAGGUCAACAUUUUUAAAUUUCCAGACUCAUAUUGUAAUUAUCUAUGAAAAAAAACAGUGCUACUGAGAUCUGGUCCUGUCAGCAAAGUCAGCGCUUGUACCUUCUCCAGGAGGCAAUACUGUCCAAGGAAGAGAACAAAGCGCGAGAAAUCUGAAUUUGGCAAAUGCUCACUCUCAGAGCCUCGUGAAGAUUUUCAGAUAGGCUUUGCAGGCUCUGAGAAUUAAGCUCGCGGCUGUGGUGUCUAGCACGUGUCAUAUCUAAUGAUUGUGUAGAGUACUGCAGGAUUGCAUAUGGGAAUUAUACGUUUCCUUUGAGUUACCAUGAACAGUACCGGUCAGGCUAAAGGACAGCGUGCUGUUUUUCUGAUCAAAUAAGGGAAGAGACAAAAUGAAGACCUUCAGCUUCCCUCAGCACCAAAGUACUUAACGCUCUUGGGGAGACCCACCAGCAAUCAGCAUCACCCCCAUGCAGCCCUUUCCAGGCUGUAUCCUUUACAAGAAAUGCUCCAGGGGUCAGAUCUGUCCUCCUUUAUGCUCCCCAGUUUUCUGCUAUGCAUCAUGCAUCAAUAUAUCCCAGAUGCAAGGCUAAAAUCCUUUGUCUCUCCAAACAUCCUCUGGAAAACAGGGAGUGAAAAAGAUUAACUAGAACCAGAAUCUGAAGGACGUGUGCUUCCAUAAAUGCAACACAAGGCAUGGUUUGACGGGUGGAAAUUUAUGGUGAUAAUGAAGAAUUCAAGGAGAACACAGCUUGGAUUUCAAGAAGGUCAGAAGCCUGCAGAGUUGGCAGGUGGACACGAUUUUAUGACGGAUGCUCAGAGCAAGAGACAUUUUGAAUACUUCACAAAUGGUAUCGAAGACAUGGAAUUCCUAGCUUCCAUCCUGAGAGUUAACAUUUGCUGUUUCUACAGGCUGAUCAAACCAUGGUAAUUUUUAUAAAGAUAGCAAAGCAAUAUGUUGCAUUCUAUAGUGUAUUUUUUCUGCAAACACAAAAUGUUACACGUUGCAAGUGAUUUUUGCAAGUACUUAAGGAAUCAGUAGUUCCCCAGAAUAAAAGACCCUGAAAUAUUGGAUCAUAUGGGCUCAAAAGACAUAGGACUCAUCCUACAGACACUGUUUUAUUGUACUUUAAUCAAAGCUCAAUUAGUCACAAGAUUUAAACAGAUUUCAGCAAUAAAAUGGAUGUCUCAGACUUGUCUUAUGCAACCAAAGGGCAAAAGAAUAAUGUUUUUUUUUUUAAUGGAAAACAUUUUUGCUUGAGUUAAGGAACAUUUACAAAAUAACUGCCAAAUCACACUACUUGUGAAAGUGAAAUGUUUUAAUUGGCUUUCAAAAUUUUUCUGAUGAAGCAAAUUUUUUGUCUUUUCCAUCUGCAGACCUAAAACCACCCUAUGACUGACAGUAGUUCCUUCAGGUACUGCAUUAGCACUGUCAUUAUUAUUCUUGAGUAUUAUCAGGACUCUUGUUGUAGCUCUAUGAAAUGUUUUCCUUAUGGCAGACAAAUCUUGUCACCAAAUGUUCUCUAAUGCAUUUAUAGCUGAUGUGUAUUAAAGAUAAAUAAAUAGCAAAUUAUACAUGUGACGUCACCUAAUAGUCUUGUUACGAUAUUUAUUAUGUCUGUGGCCAUACACUGGUCUAGCUCUUUCUCCCACUCUCUAUUUUCCACAAUUUAGUGAUUAAUGGUUAAAAAAGACAAAACCUUUGCCAAUUUGAACAAAUAGUUCUAGGGAUUUGAUACAUCUGGG
ensembl:lncRNA